GUAAUACCGAACUUAUGAAGGGAAUUCCCCUUUAUAACCCAGAGAAAUCAUCCAGAAAUGGUUCAUAAACCGAAUGAUGCAAAACAAGACGGACUACCAAAUAUGGCACGAAACAUGAGGAGAUAACUUAAAUUGGUGACGAAAAGAAAAAGGAUCCGAAUUCAAUGAUGGAAGACCUUCCGCAGAUGACUUGCUUGAUUUUAACUAAGAAGAAAACACUCCAAAGAAGUCCAACUUAUUUCAAUGAAAUAAUACAACAUUGUACUGCAUCAUUAAUACUUUAAAGUAGUGUUAUUGGUAUAUUUAUAUUACAUUUUAUAAUAUGUAUUCAAUCGAACCUAAUAUAAAUGCCCCCAGUUGGUUUUAAGCCCGACUAAAAGCGUA